UUGAUUUCUAUUUUUCGAGGACAGUUUUAAACUUUAUCUGGGGCUAUGGUGGUUGCACUUCACUGCAAAAUGGCUGCCAUUCUGAUGCUGCAGGAUGUCUCAGAGUGCUUGCUGGUUUAAUCUGACAGCGGCAUUCUGUGCCGCACAGUGAGAGAGCACGGAUAGUGACAGCGGAAUUACAGUCUACAGGCUGCUUGGUCUUUGAUCAGCACAUUGAAGGAUCUGAG